UACGAAGGGGGCUAGCGUUGUUCGGAAUUACUGGGCGUAAAGCGUGCGCAGGCGGUCUGUUAAGACAGAUGUGAAAUCCCCGGGCUUAACCUGGGAACUGCAUUUGUGACUGGCAGGCUAGAGUAUGGCAGAGGGGGGUAGAAUUCCACGUGUAGCAGUGAAAUGCGUAGAGAUGUGGAGGAAUACCGAUGGCGAAGGCAGCCCCCUGGGCCAAUACUGACGCUCAUGCACGAAAGCGUGGGGAGCAAACAGGAUUAACGAAACCCGGAGUAGUCCA
rnacentral:rRNA from 1 species